CUGGCGUCAGAGCCUCCUGCUUCCUCCUGCAUCUAGAAGAGAAGAGAAGAGAAGAGAAGAGAAGAGAACAGACAGAGAAUAGCAAGAGCAGAUGAAGAGAAGA